UGUGCCACUUGCCAUCAUUUUCCACAAAAUUCCGAAUCACUCCCACAUCACAACACAACUCAAGUUUACACCAACUACCCUUUUUCCUUUCCGUUUUCUUCUCAAAUUGUUCCCAUUUUCACUUUGAUUCACCCCACCAAAUGAUGUGUUUCCCUCUUCACUUGCCAACCCCGAAAUCAUAGGGUCUCCCUCUGUUCUUUCAGAUCCUUUUCUGUUUUCUGCUAUUUUCAGAUUUUGGUUUGAAUGGGGAUUCAGACAAUGGGAUCUCAAGGUAAUGGGCAACAGUCUCAUUUACAGCCUUCUUCGUUGUCUAGGCAAGGUUCAUGGUAUAGUCUCACUCUUGAUGAGGUUAAUAGUCAAUUAGGAGACAUGGGGAAGCCAUUGGGGAGCAUGAACCUCGAUGAGCUUCUUCAAAAUGUGUGGACUGCUGAAGCAAGCAAGUCUUCUGUUAUAGGCAUGGACAGUGAGAACAUGUCGUCCUCUUCCUCGCUUCAACGGCAGGCCAGCCUGACGCUGGCUCGCGCGUUGAGUGGGAAGACUGUGGAUGAUGUGUGGAGGGAAAUUCAGCAAGGUCAGAAGAAAAGGUAUGGAGAGGAUGUGAAAAUUCAAGAGGGAGAAAUGACUCUUGGUGAAACCACCUUGGAGGAUUUCUUGGUGCAAGCAGGCCUCUUUGCUGAAGCUUCUAUUAGUCCUGCUGUGGGAUUGGAUGCAAUGGAUUCGCCUGCCCCUCAAGGUUUCCAACAGAAAACAGGCCUGGCAUCCUCCCCUUCGAUUGGGAGUUUAUCCGACACCAGACCAGGCCAGAAAAGGGAUGCUCCUGAUGCGUAUGAGAAAACUCUAGAAAGGAGGCUGAGGAGGAAAAUCAAGAAUAGGGAAUCUGCUGCACGGUCACGAGCCCGAAAACAGGUUCAGCCUUCAUGCUUACCAUAAUGAACUGGUUGGCAAGGUUUCCCGUUUAGAAGAAGAAAAUGUAAAGCUCAAGAAAGAGAAGGAAUUUGAAGAAAGGUUACCUCCCGAUCCCUUGCCGAAACCAAAAUAUCAGCUUCGAAGACAUAAUUCUGCCUCUUUCUGACAUGUGAUCUGCAAUGAAGUUUUGUUGUUCUCCAUGUUCUUGAUUUAAUGGGGGCAUGUCCAGGAUUGCAUCACUGCAUUGCUCAUGGCUGUUGCUACUGCUUUGCAUUUGCUCUAGUAGGAGAGUUUGCUCUAUAUCUAAAAUUAACUAACUAUAGGGUACAUAUUGCAGCAAAGGUUUGAUGUUCAUAAGCUUUAGCUUUGCAUGGAAACAGUAUCAGGAAAUAUUUGAGUCCAAUGGAAGCCUGGAAGGCUUGCCUUUUUGUAUAAUGAUUAUGAUGUGUGUACUAGGGCAAUUAUUAGGCAGUUAAGUUAUUGGAAGGUGACUGCUAAAAAAGCUGAAAUUAGGUAAGGUAGGUAUUGUUAGCAUUACUGAACUGCAAUAUUGUAUUAUUAGACUAAAGUAAUAUCUGUUGGUAAGUGUUAGGGCAAAAUCCAGAUAUGAGAAGUAGUGUGCUCUGUAGAGAUUAUUUUCUAGAAAAGAUGAAAUAGCAAAAGAAAAGUUUGUUUAUUAUUA